rnacentral:lncRNA from 1 species
CGCGGCCCCGCGCCGCGCCCCCGGCACCCGGAGCGCCGCCGCCCGCGCACUGACAGAAGCUCACAGGUGCCGCCGCGCUCGGCCCGAGUCGCGGAGGGGCGGCCCCGCUGCCCUCUCGGCUCCGCACCGGCGGGAGGGAGAUAGCUCGGGAGGGAGGAGCGGCGCGGGAACAGCGGCAGCGCCGAGAUCUGUCCUUUCAACCCUCAUAAUCAUCUUGAUGUCCAAAGAAACACAAUCUGUGGACAAAAAGCCUCUAAAACUGGAGUGUGGCUUCACUGAGGUAAAAAUACUUUUCCAAAUACUUAAUUCUUAAGAGAAAUGUCAUGAAUUUAGGGGAAAAUACUGUUCAUAUCCUGAAUGAUAAAAGUCAGAUCACUGGGAACUUGUCUUAUGACAAGUUGUAGGCCUUUCCUGAAUUGUUACCGAGUUUUGUGUCUGUAUGACUCCUGGCUCUGCCAGAAUUGUUCAAAUUAGAUAAUAGUAUUUUCCUAAAAAAACCAAAGAUAUAACAAAGAUUGAAAUAACAGAGAAAUCUACCUUAAGCCUGUGUAAAUUGUUCUUGCUGUUCCAAAAAUGUCUGUUUUGCUUUGUACUUGCUUUGACUAGCUUCAGUCUAGCAAACUGAAGCUAGGCAGUUGGACUUCAUAAUCUUAGAAGUCUUUUCCAACCUUAAUGUUUCUAUGCUUCUAUAAAAUGUAAGUGAUAAUAUCACCCUUGUGGCUCUGCUGGAACUUUGUUUUGUGAUGUCCUCUUGGAAUUGUGCCUACAGGAACUGGACAUGAUGAUGGCCAAAUACAGAAUUAUUGGACCUCUUCUUCCCUCUCAUGCAGCAGGGAAUUGCACUACCUCCUUAUGACUAGAAUGCAAGAGGAUGAAGAGGAUGAGGUUCAGCCUAGUUAACUCUUCUGACCUCUUGCUUCUGUUUCUGAGCACAACCUUCCUUCCUGAAACUGUGGCCUUUGUCAUUUAGUCUUCCAUUUUAAUCUUGAGUACAUGACUUGGGCUGCUGUUAAAAUUCAAGUGGCUUGCUAGUGUUCAGAUACCAGCUUGAGGUGGUUGAACCUGACAGGUCACUGAACACCAUACAGCUGCUUGCUCACUCCUUCCUCACCCAGUGGGAUAUGGAGAGAAUGGAGGUGGGGGAAAAGGUAAAAUUCAUAGAUUGAGAUAAAGACAGCUGAAUGGGACAGAAGAUGAAGGGGUAAUCAUAAAAUAUUUUGUAAAU